GCUGUUUCCCACAGAUCAAAUGAUAGCAUCUCCUCAUCCAAACAUUUACCAUCAGAAUCUGUAGCCUCAUAAUUCAUGUCAGGUCAUUGGUCAUUUAUUCAUAAAGUUUUAUGUAGAUUUAAAAAAAAUUAUCAUAAAUCAAUGCUAAAAUCUAAACAUAGAUUUCAUUAUUGGGAUGAAAAAUGCAGUCAUCUUUAUUUUUUUGCAAUAUUUGUCAUCAAUAUUUUAAUGUUGGGAAAAGAGAGAACUGUACUUCUGUCCUGUUGGAAUCGUGUUUGGGAUGCCUUUGGCCAGUGAGAGUUUUAUAUCGAAGAUCUCAGCAAUAAUUAGUUGCCAUGUUUUUCUGUUUGUUGUAAAAGAGUAGGAGAUUAAGUUUUUACACUAUCAGUAGCCAGAGUUUGUAAUGUGAUAUGUAAACUGCAGAUUGCAUGAUUAACAGGACAUUAGAAACACACAUUAUGGAUUUUUUUUUUUCAUUUAAGGAAUAAAUGUGUUUAAAUCUUAAAAAAAAAAGUUAAUACAAAUUCUUAAAAAAUAUGUAAUUGUCUCAGUGUAGCAAAGAAGGCCUUAAGUGGACGGGGUACUUAAGUUUUGUACCAUGUGUACCGCAGUUAGUAGGAAUCAGCUGAAUGUGAUAGUGUUUUUAACAUGUUGUACAUAGUCCCAGCACUGUUUAUACUAAAAUUGUGGAGUUUAACUCAUUUAACAUGCAGUUCUAUAAAAACUUAAAAUUUAGAAGUAACUCAAUAAUUUACAACUUUCAGAUAAGUUUACAUCAAUUGUAUAUUGAAGGAUGUUUUAUUUUAUAGGAGGUAUAAUUGUACGAAUAUCAAGUUCUAAAUUGUGAAUUUCUUCUUUGUGUAAUUGAUUUUAUUUUGACAUACAUCUGUGUACUCUAUAUUGUAAUCACCUUUGUGUGUAACAUUACUCUGUAUGGCUGUGUUUUAUAAUGUUCUCCUCUGUGAGAUUGUUGUGUGUUCGACUGACUUUUCUCUAAUUGGCCACUUGUAAGAUUGUUGUGCUGUGUGAUAUGAGUUAGGGACUAUUUUCUAUGUGGUCCAUUGUGAGAUUGUUGUGUUGUGUGACGUUUUUUAUGGGGCCCUGUUUGUGAGAGUAGUGUGUCAUGUAAUGAGGGACUAUUUUCUCUGGGGCCCUGUGUGAGCAAGUGGGUUAUUUCAGGUUUACCACGAAAGACUUUAUAUUUUACUGCAGGGAAACCCAUACACAUACCGGUAAUAGGAAGAUAAGAAUUCCCAGGGAGGGGGAGUCUGCCUGUCCAUCACAUUGUAUAUACCAACCAAAGGAUCAUCAGCUCACACUCAUCGUCAAACUGUUAUAACAUUGGCAAGGAAGUCACCGUUAAGGAGGGUGGGGAAUCAUUCAGUUGUUAACAGAUAUUACAUGAUGGAUUAAUGCUAUAAUCCUGUAUGUAGUUUUGUUAUGCAUCCAUUCAGAAUGUUCAUAGUUUAUUUGUAACUAUAAUUUAUUUCAUGUAUAUAUAAGCAUAGAAUAUAUGAAAUUCUAUGUAAAUAAAUUUUUUACUUAUACU
rnacentral:misc_RNA from 1 species